CGCGGGGCCUGGGCGGGGGAAACUCGCGCCCCAGGCUGUGGCCGGCAGGGAGCUGCUUCAGGGACAAGAUGUGGGGCUGGAUGUGCUCACGCCCCAGAGGCGACCCCCUCCUGCCCGCUGGCACGCCGCGGGGUCAAACUGUGCUCUCCAGCCGUGGCUUCCUCCCCGCCACCUGUUGCACCCCAUUGCUUCCCCAAGUGUCCUGGCUUCAACCUCCCUCUCUGGUUUUCCCAGCUCUCAGCCCACAAUCUUCAGUCCUUCGGAAUACAAGUCUUGUCGUAUGAAGGAAGCCGGGUAACUCAGCACCUUCCUUGGCACCGAGAAGAAGAGAGACAGGGGUCUCCCCAGCAAGCUCUGAUGUGAGGUAUUCCACAGGGCAAAUUCCCAGGUAUUUGGGGGCAGGGAGGACCCGCCAACAGAGGACCAGGCGGAGACAUUCACUGGAGAAUUUUCUCUGAACCCCAAGGGGGCACUGCCACAAUGUGGCUCCCGCUUUGGCCCCAGAAGCUGAGUGUGAGAGGGACCAACUGGAAUAGAGGAGGCUUUGGAAACCUCCUUGAGACUGGAUGGCCGAAUCUUUCUGGAGACUUGGCACCAGGUGAUAGCAGAAGAAGACACGAGAAGGCACAGAGGGGGAAGGGGAAGGGGCAGUGCCCCACUUCAGGGGAGACACGUCAAGAGUCUCAAGCAUACUUGGACUUCAUCUUCUUUCCCUAGACCCUUCUGAUUUGCUUCAGAAGGAGAAGGAAUGGCAAAGAUUUGUGUACCAAGCUGAUGCCAGACGCUGGCAGCAUCCUCACCUGUUGCUCCAGAAGGGGCUGUGUGCAUCCUUGAAGAGGCUUAGCUCUACCACACUCACCUACAACACCCUCUUCACCACCCCACCUCCCAAGCACAUCACUCUGCUUUGUCCUCUUCACAACACUGCUCACUCAUUGAUGAUUAUCUUGGGCAUUUUUUAUGAGCUUGUUUACAGUGGGUCUCUCCUACUGAAGUAAGCUCAGGGACAAACACACACAUGCAUACACACAAAAUGUGUCUGUUGGGGUCUCCACUGUAUCCCUAAGACUUAGCAGAGCUCUGGGUACACAAUAGGCACUCAACCAAAUGUGUCACUGAUUUGUGUGCAGCUGUGUGUGUCCUACUACCACUGAGUUAGUCCACUAGGACCUGGGGCUGCCUUCAGACUACGGUGCAAGACAGAAGAGACUGCAGGACAUGUUUAGGCUUGCACAGCCCCUCACCCCCGCCCCCCGACACACACCGGGAAGAGCCCCAUACUUUCUUUCAUGCUUUGCUGCUGAAAUUUUUAAUAAUUUUUGAACAAGUGGACCUGCAUUUUUCUUUUUUCCUGGGCCCUGCAAAUUAUAUAGCCAGUUUUGCCCUGGGCAGAAAUGCCGCAGAGCAGGGAACAGGCAAACACGCGGCUUUGCUGAGGCCAUGAGGAAGAGAAGGCUGCCAGUCCAUCCGCCUGCCGUCCUGUCCAACACCAGACUGCUAUGGAAAGGAGCAUGUCUGCCCUUACUGUAGCCAGCCUGGGAUUUGAAGUGUCCUGUAUGCAUGUCUCUUCCUCCACUGACAUUGGACCUCCGGGAAAUGAAGGGUACCUCUCACAUAGCAUAAGACUCAGGACUGUAUGUCACGCAGUUGGGCAAAAUGAGACAGGACAAUAUAUCAACAUGUAUGCUACCUAUUAAAAAGGUAAGUUUCUGUCCCAUUUUGUAAAUUUAAAGACAAAGAAACAAACUGUAAUGUCUUCUUUAUCAGACCACGAUAAAUCACUCCCAUGCAACUCACA
rnacentral:lncRNA from 1 species